UAAGGAAUAUUGGACAAUGGAGGCAACUCUGAUCCAGCCAUGCCGCGUGAAGGAAUAAGGCCCUAUGGGUUGUAACCUUCUUUUAGAAGGGACAAAACACCUUUACGUGUACAGGGUUGAUGGUACUGUCAGAAUAAGCAUCGGCUAACUUCGUGACAGCAGCCGCGGUAAAAAGAAGGAUGCAAGCGUUAUCCGGAAUUCCUGGGAUUACAGGGAGCGUAGGUGGGCUUAUAAGUCAGUGGUGAAAUCUCCGAGCUUAACUUGGAAACUGCCGUUGAUACUAUAGUUCUUGAAUUAUCUGGAGGUAAGCGGAAUAUGUCAUGUAGCGGUGAAAUGCUUAGAUAUGACAUAGAACACCAAUUGCGAAGGCAGCUUACUACAUAUAAAUUGACGCUGAGGCACGAAAGCGUGGGGAUCAAACA
rnacentral:rRNA from 1 species